CCUCAGCCCUACUUAAAUAUUAUAGGGUAGCCAGAGUAUUCCAGAAACAGCCUCCCUCGACUUGCCCGUUCAUUUCCCGCUCCAAUGAAGUCAUCUGGGAAGGGGGGGUAGGAGGGAACUGUAGUUUCCUUUCUCCCCACACCUCCCAGAUAGGCUGCCCAGCCCCAGGCCUCCUGGGACCAGGACUGACCUUUCGGAGCAGUUUGCUCAAGUGCCCAUAAGCAAACAAAAACAGCCUUCAGUUUGCCAGGGCUGGCAGCUUGGGAUAGAAAACAGCCAGCUGGAGAGAGAGAGAGAGAGCCUAGUGAGCAAGCGCCCUUGCUUCUGUGGAACCCUGGACCUUGUCCUCUCAGCCUUGUCCCUCCAGUCCUCCUUUGUCAGAACUGUGGUCUCUGUGGGGAUUGGGGACAGGAGUGGGGGAAGGUAGUGGCUUUGAACAAUGCCAGUGUGUCUGUCCAGGGAGCCUGCUUGACCUGAUUAGGCUUCUGAGUCUGGGGUGGGGACUAAGGCAGCCUUCAGAAACUGUUUUCCACCUGGGUAGGCAGAAUGUCCCUCAUGCCCCUGCAGUGGUUCCUUUUUGAUGAAAGAGGCUGUUUGGCUCCUUUGCACAGACGUGAUGGCCUUUCUGAUCUCUGCCUACACUGGCGCUGGGACCUGUAGGUCUACUUACUCUUGUUGCCCUUCCCACCAGGCAGCUCUCCAACAGUGUUUUUCUCACUGCAGCUCUCACUGCCAGGCCCAAGGCACCCGCACCUGAGUCCAGCUGGCAUCCACUUGAAAGACUUCCUGCUGAGAGCCUCAAGGUUGCCCCCGCCCAUAGCCCUGGCCCUAGGGCCUGAGCACAGGGCCACAGAAACUAGGCCAAGAAAGUCCAGGAGAAAAACCAUCCCCCAACCGGAGGAGGACACCUUCCAUCCCCUUCCCUAGGUGCUACCACAAGCCCCAGCAUGCACCAUUCGCAUUCCGAAUUCCGCAUGCAUUCCGCAGUGCCUAUCCCUGAGGACACCCUAGGGAUUCAGAGAGCGCUGGAGCAGCACUUUUGAGUUUGUUGGUACAGAUGGAUGGGAAGCCAGAGUGCAGAGAUUUCCAAAGACUCUGCAGAAACGGUGAAAGUGGAGAAGGUUAGGGUGAGGCCCAAGGAAGGGAGGGGUGGCUGGGUGCGCCCAGCAACCAGGUCUAUCCUUUGUGUGUUGGCAAAAGGAGACCAUCUGAAAGCUUCUUUGGGAGAGAAAUAUAGUCUCAGCUUGUGUUGGCCAUGGUUACCAGCUGGCAUUGCCAAGACUGUUUCCAGGACUGGCGUCUUUGGUUACGGGACACUACUUGACAAGAACUUUCUGCUAGACUUUGGCAGACUCAAGUGGGACCAGUUGGAGAUCAAGGCUGAUGGUGUUUCCUGUGACGAGCUGGAGCUGUAAUCCCAGAAGAGGAGAUGCAAUUCUGAGCAAAAGUCCUUUGCGGAGUCUGCUCCAUUCGGAGGCACAUAGUGUUUCCUGAUUCUCUGAUGCCCACGGACACUGACAGUCAGUUAAGUUCACUGGCUCUGGUUCAAGCGUCAAUGAAAAUGGCUGUGCUGGUAUUAAUGUCUGCAUUUAAUAGCUGUGAUUCCUCCAGCCUUACCUCAUCACUCCAGUCCUUUCCAGUACUGUUCCUAUAAGAUGGGUAGAUAGAACUGGCUACCCCUUUCCUUGUUCUUUGCUGCUUUUGUUGUUUUACAGUUUUCAGAAUAAGCGUUUCAGGUUCAGUCUUUUGCUGUGUAUUGUGAUGCUAAAUCUGACCCCCCAGGCCUUGUUGCCCCCAGGGACAAGAGAAUCUGCACAUCUGCAUGCACAUGAGGUAAUGCUAUGCGACCUUGCUCCUCAAUUUAAAACUAUUGGUUGAGAUACAGAUGCCUACAGCCUAUAGCUGGGCAAAAGAGAGGUAGGUAGGGUUUGGGUUCCUGGGCUUGGGGUGAAGGUGGGAAGAUCACAAGGGGGAAGAAAAAAGAAGUGGAGAAGGGACAAGAGCCAUCAGGUAGAUGAAUUAUGAAAACAUGGUCAUGAGGGCUGGUCAAUUGGGUUAAGAGCAACCCAGAUGGAGCAUGGGAAGUUGUAACUCUCGGUCAUUGAUAGGGAAGUAGACAUCAUAGCAUAGAGGGUAGACAUCUGCCCAGCUCUAGUGCUGAUUAAGACUUAUCAUACAUAUAAAAGUGGUUGUCUUUUAUCUGGGAACUGAAUGAUCUAAGGCAGAUAGAAGCCCCGAUCUGAGACUAAAUAAUUACUACACCAAAUAAGUCUGCUCUUUACCAUGUCGUCCCAGGAGACCUAUAAGCUAAGUCUUGUUUUACCGUAAACUCGUGUGUUUUAACAAUGUUGGUGCAUGUUGUCCGUCUCACUGAUUGCUCUUACUUCUGUCAAUCAUCUCAUCUUGGCUUCCUCAAAUUUGUUUCUUCCUCUAAUGCAGCCUCUGUUGUCUUUGAUAGCUCCUUUCCCUUCAGGAAUGCUAUUUUUAAGUUAUAUGUUUGAUUGUGUGUAUGUGUGUAAGUAUGUGCACACGCAUGCAAAUGAGGUCAGCAGAGCAGAGAGCCCCGGAGCUCCAGUUCACGUGGUUGUCAGCUACAAGAUGUGGGUGCUGGGAAUCAAACUCUGGCCCUCAGGAGGUACGUGCUCUCAACUGCUGAGCCCUCUCUCCAGCCCAGAAAAUGAUGUUUUUAAGUUCUUGAAUUAUCUUGACCAUCUCCUGUCUUAGACAUUGUUUGAGGAAUCCUGACUCCCUUCAGUGGGACCGCUAUCAGGGCACUAGCUGAGCAUACUGCUUAGGGAAUGUCUAUUCCACCUCUUAGACCCCAGGACGAGCCCAGAGCAUCAGAAACAGAGGGAACGUUAUUAAAGGCCGGCAGAAACCUGCUUCCUCAUUCCAUCUCUCGCUCUACCUGCAUACUGAUUUGUCACUUUGUAGGGAACAAACACCCUUCUUUGCGUCCUGCAAGCUGUCCUUGCCUCCCUUUUGCCUUUGCCCUAGUCCAUUCUCAAUAAAAGGGAUGCCUUCCAACAGCCAAUCAGAACCUAGAUUCCAUAAAGGGAAAGAAAACACAAUUACAUAAAAACUAUUGCGUGUAAAGUACACUGUAAGCUCCAAAGAUGACAAACUAGGGGGAAUUCACUUAAAUUGUAUCAGAGCAAAAGUCUCAUCUGCCUAUAAAUCAGAAUAAUUCUUUAACCGAGUAAUUCUGAACGUGUACAAAAUGACUUCAUAGAGGGUUAUUCACUCCAGCCUCCCAACAAUUAAUCCAAGUGCCCUUCUAGUAGGACUAUUUUUAAAAUGGCACAUGCAGAAUAGAGUACUGGGCCAGUGAGAUGAAUCAGUGGGUAAGGAUGCUUGAAGCCAAAUCUGAUAACCCGAGUUUGAUCCCCAGAACCCACGGGGUAGAAGGAGAAAACUGAUUCAUGUAGGAUCCUCUGACUCUCCACACAAAAUGUGGCAUCUGCAGCGCACACCUACACACAGAGAGAACAAAUAAAUGAAAAGGGCACACUCCAUACUUUAAAAAAGGAAUAAGGAUGUUCUCUGUACAUUGAUAAGAAAGAUCUCCAGGGUAUACAAUGAUUAAUCAUACUCCAGAAAUGGUGUCUAUGUGUGUGGCAGACACUGGCAAGCUAUUGUCCCCCAAAUGUUUCCUAUUUUCACCUGGGCACAAUGCAGAUAUGAUUCUUAGCGUCCUUUGUAAUCAGAUGAGUUAUCGACUGAGUUCUGACCAAGAGGAUGUAAAUAAAAGUGGCUGAACGCCACUUAUUAGAGGUGAUCGAUACUGGGAAGCCUUACAAAAAUGAAUCAGGGCAUGUAGGGGAAGUCCAGUGGCAGCUGCAUCCCCAGGUUGAGUAAAACACAUGUGGACAACAGGGACAGCUCCCUUGCUGUUAGGCAAAAGCAGUGUAAACACAUGAGGAGGCAGAACAAGGCCAGUGUGGAGCAGGCUGGAAUUGGAAGUAGUGGUAUAGUUCCUUCAUUUAGUAGAGAAAGAGGGCCAAGAAGGGGACAGAAGGGGAAGAAGUGCAAGAAGGAGGUAGAGAAGCCAGAGAGCAGCAAGACUCCCGUGUAAGCCAGUGCAACUGGGCCUCACGUGGUGCUGUAUUAGAAGAUCCAGGAGCCCAUGUGUGAUGGUUUAUAUUUGCUCUUCUCCAGAAGUGGCACUAAUAGAAGGUGUGGCCCCGUUGGAGUAGGUGUGGUCUUGUUGGAGUAGGUGUGUCACUGGGCAUGGGCUUUAAAAC
rnacentral:sRNA from 1 species